CGCCGGUUACUGGCUAAACCCGGCAGGUGGAGGCACCACCGCCACAACUCGAAUUGCUGUGUGUAGUCUUUGCCCAGUCUCUUCGAUGGGCCCUUUUUUUA
rnacentral:sRNA from 1 species